AUGAGAAGAUGAGAGUUAGAAGGGGAGAUUACCCCCAUAAUUAACACAUGUUAAUUAAACUCUAACAAAUCUCUCCCACGCUCCAGAUCCGAUCGAGACACCUUGUCGCCCCACCUCUGUCUCGCUCGUCUCGUCUCCCCUCCCUCCAACCCGUGAUUCCCACCACCGCCGCCGCCGCCGCCGCCCACCGUCGACCUCGUCUCCACCACCCACCCUCUACCCUUCCCCUCGCCUUCACCCCUAGAUCCACCAGCCCAGGCGCGGCCAUGGCAUCCCCCCUCCUCCUUCUGUGCUAGGGUUAGGGUUUGCGGUCGGAGCAGACAAGAGUCGGCUAGCGAUGGACGCUCGUCGCGGGAUAAGAAGGGCUGCCUCGAGGCCCUCACCGACUCCUAUUCGCUUGUCAUGGUCGAGCUGGGCCAUGGGAGACGUCCGUCAGUACGAGCACUAAGAGCUUCCGAUAUGGUAAGUUAUUAUCCCCCCUCUCUCUCUCUCUCUCUCAGUAUCCCGCUCUCAAUCGCUCUCCCUCCCUCCCUGCAGAAGCCACCAGAUGCAAGGCUGGAACCCGCGCCGGAACUGAAAGCCGAGCAUGCUGCUGCCGGCGUCUUCCAUCCCCCCUAGCCGUGACCCUCGCUGACCCGCGUCGGAUUUGAAGGCAUCUCUGUAGGAGGAGGUAGUGGAUGACAGUGUGCUCCCAGCUCCCCUAGUGCAGCAUCGACAGCAAGAAUAAGACAAUCAGGAAGAUGGCAGCAGUAGUUCCUUAGAGUAGUACAGGUACGUACAACUGAUUCACGUUCUUCAUGUUUCCAUCGAAUAUUCUCUCCUCUGACAUGUAUCUCUCUCUUCUGCUCCUCAAUAUGCACUCUUAUGCAGUCGUUCUACUAUCACCGUAAGGCAGCUGAGUCGUCAUGCACACACCAAAUGCACAACUGCAGAGCAGUAUGGUAUGAUGGAUCGCCCACCGGGUUCAGGUACUUGCUGAGAAAACCCACUCUAAAUACCGAUAAAGCACUGCAGAGGCCGGUCUGCACGCAGCUCUGAAUCCAGCCCGCCGAACCAGCUUUAGGAUUUGUGCCGUUAGGCGUAUUGCAUUUUCCACCGCCACGUGAAAAGCCGUUUACCACCAUAUUUUCUGACAAGGCCCAUGCGGGAGGCACAUGUGUAGAACCUGGGCGAAGCAUAAUCACGUAUGUUAAUUAGCACAUAAUACAGUAGUUUGUUCCAAAAAUAAUAUCUAAUUAGCACCUUAACCUUUUGUUCUUUAUGAAAAGAGUCACGUAUGUUAAUUGUUUGCUAAAAAAGCAACAGCUAAUUGCACAAUAAUUUGAUGAAUUUGAUAUAUAAACAAAUAUUUACCAAGAUGAUAGCAAAAAAGCAAACAUAAUACCAUCAGUAUUUUUCUUCAACAAAACAAACAUGUGUACCAGUAGUGUUCCUGCACAUUUUAUUUCGUUAGACAAGAAAACAAUUUAAUGGAGAGCGUAUAGUAUAUUACUUACAAAGAAAUUAGGUCAUACAUGUUCCUAGCAUGGCUUGUGUACAUCUAUUUUAUUUACUUUUGUUUUGCGGGGCAUCUAUUUUCUUUACUGACUCUCUUAGAAUGAUGCGAAUACACGUACUGAUUAUUGAUAUGUUGCAAUCUAGACAAAUUAUAAUAAUGUCAUUUGUAGUAUGUAUACAUUUUUCUAGGAUCACAUGGAUACGUAUAACAUUAUACAAUAUGAUAAUUAUUUGUCUUCAUAUGCUAGAUACAACAUAUACAUAUGGGUCGAAUAUGAUUUUUUAUUAAUAAGUAUGUGGGAAAUAUCUUUAAACACUCCUUUUUAACAAGUAAUUGCCAUAAUUAAAAUACUUUAUGUUGUCAAAUAUAUCCUUCAUGGUUCAAACCAAAUAUUUCUCUUACCUCUUAGGGAGAAAUAGGGGUCAUCUUAAAUGAACUUUUUGUUAAAAGAGGCACAAUUAUUUACUACCUCCAUCUAGGUUUAUUAGUCUCCGUUGUAUUUAUUUCAAGUUUUGAUUAGUAAAUAUUAAUGUAUGUCAUAAAAUAUUAUAUUGUUGAAUUUGUAUUUAGAUGGAAAAUUUAAAUUCUAAUGAUAUUAUUGAUGCUACAUAUAACAAAUAUUUUAUUGCUUAAUGUUAUUUGUCAAAACAUGACCCAAAAUGCGAGGGGCUAGUAAUUCCAGAAGGAAGUAGUAAUUAUUUGCUCCAGAACAGUAGCUAAUUGCACACUAAUUUAAGGAUUGGUUUUAUAUAAACAGAGAAAUGCAUGCAAUGAUGAGGUGACCGAAUAGAAAAUUGAUACUUUUUGAUGCCAUGAACGGGUGAGCAAUAAGUUCAUCACAUAUUAAUUUCGAGCUGUCAAAUCAGUGAUUCAUCACGCUCAUUAAACAGCAGUUUCAUUGCAUUCACUCGAGCCUGACAAAUGGGCAACUCCCAUACGGUUGCACUAUUCACGCAUAUAUGUAUAUUGCCCCGUAUAAUUUAGAAAAGCCUGACACACUUAAUCACGAGGCCCAUAUCCACCAAGGGGAUAAUAAGCUGCCUGGCGCUCGGCCUCUGCGACCUAUUUGGCAGUAGCAGGUGAUCUCAUUUCUUUUCAACAGAGAGCCUCAUAGAUACUCUCUCAUUUAAACUGUAGCUCACAACACUCUUCCAUUCAGAUUGUAGCUCACCUUGUUGUCUCACAAAUACUUUUGCAUAUCCACAUGCUUGCACUUGCCCAUGCCCUUGCUUCCCUAGAAUUAAAUGGAGCACUGCUAUUUCGUGUUCCUGUGCUAACGAGUAGCUAGCUUACGAACAGUGCAGUCAAGAUCACAAGGACGCUCGUGGGAGUUUCGCUGAAAGAAUGGCCAAGGCUCAUAUGGUCUGUCAGUUUCAGGCUGCAAGCAUCUUGUAUACCACACCAUUGAAGAAGCAGCCAACAAACAGUCCACAACGCACUGCAUCUCCACUAAGUUGUCACGGAUAUUAGUAGAAGAAAACACCCAAUCUGCCCAAGUUUUUCCUCUUACUGUACAUUUUUUUCUUGUUGCACGUGCCAAGUAUUUUGGUUCCAGUCCAUGCAACCAUAGAUAGUUUGAGAAGUCUUGUAACUAGUUCAGUUGCCCCCCAAUCUGUUCAAUUGAGUGUCGAGUCUAUCCAUGCAUCAUCCCUUGUGCUUUCACAGUUAGUAACUUCCUAGCCCUGAUUAUUUCUAUGCUCAAACAUGUGAACCACAACGGCGCUGACUUCAAUCUGUUUUAGAUAUGCUUGAGCAGAGCCAACCUCAAUGUAACAUGCUGCUUGUACAAAGUGAAUACCUGAUGGGUGCGACAUUUUUAAAUCAAGUUGUCUAUUCACUAUGUGACACUGGUUGUACACUAAAAUUACAUUAGUUUGUCAUAUUUGCUAUUAAUGCAUUGUCCAACUCAUGAAUUUCUUGAAGUGGUGCAUGUAUAUAUUUGAUUGCUUAUUAAUUAGAAAAUGUCUUCAUCUAGUCUUGCUUCAUCAUCAAAUUUGUGAUACAUAUUUGGUGAACAUUUUUUCUCCUAUGUUAUUCAAUAAAAUCUAUAUGAUUUCUAUUAUUGACAUAAAAAAAUAUGACCUAAAUUACCUCUAGGUAUAUGCAGAAUUGCAGAUGCCAUCUACAAGUGAUUUCUAUUCUUGACAUAACAAGAUGAGCUAAAUUACUUCUACCUUUUCCAACUCAGACUUGUUAACUAUUGUUUCAUACUUUUGUUAGCAUAUCAGCAAGUCCGAAAUUGUGAAGCAUUUCUAUUCUUAUAUGUUCAUUCUUAUUUUUUGCACAGGUGAAGUGCGAAUCCAAGUCCGAAGCUGUGAAGCAUAUCACCAAAGAGUAGCAUAUUAUGUAUUGUAGUUGUAGGCAGUAGUAGGCUUAUUUGGGUUGUAGUAUAAUGUAAUGAUUGUAAUAGACUAAUGUAGUGUUGUUUUGGACGAAUUCCAUUUGCUCUUUGGAUUCUUCAAAAUAAUGAUUUUGUAUGUGAUUUGAAUACCUCGAAAAUGGUAACCUGGCAAAGGGGUUCAAGUUAUAAUGGUUGUUUGACAUAUUUUGAAAUUUCUGAUGCGUGGGACCAAUUUUGAGAUUAGGAUGACAUGUGGGACCAAUCUGAUUAGUGGGACCAGUACAAAAGUAAAAUGAAUAACAAAAUCAAUAGAAAGUAAAAGGUCACAAUCCAAAAUUAAAAAGGCUAAGAUGUUUUGGAUUAUUGGGCCAGGCCCAUGCAGCUAAGCAAAAUAAAGAGAAAAAAACAUUAAAUGGGCUGGAUUAAUGGGCUCGACCCAUUGAAAACAUUAAAUUGGACCGGGCUGAUUCUAUGCCACGUCAGCUUGACAUGUCAGAUCUGACGUGGCGUGGGCAGAUUGCUAGUGACCAAAAAAAUUCAAUGCUUUCGUUUGGUCGUAAAAUCUUACGACCAAUCCAGCAAAAAGGUCGUUAUAGUUCAUUAGAGACCCUCAGCUUUUGACCGUUUGUUUUUGGUCGUAAAAGGUCGCAAAUGAAAAUCAAUGACCAUUCGGUGACUAAUAUUGAAGGUCGUUAGUUGACAUAUUUGUUGUAGUGGACGUUCUUCACAUAAAAGAACUCAUUUUGCCACAUCUUGACGGAGUCCUGCAGCGGCAUCUGCGGGAAGCCAGACGUAGUUCGAUGACGCACCAGCACGGCGCCGCAAGGGGUCAUCGGCUUGGGGCCUGAAUGCCCCGUCGCCUCAGCCUUGUCCAUCUUCAUAGACUGCUGCUUGAAGAAGAACAGCUUCCACCACAGGUCCAAGCGGGGUUCGAUCCGCAUGAAACCCUCGCACAGGACGACAAAGGCGGUGAGCUGGAGGAUGGCGUUGGGCGCCAGGUGAUGCGGCUGCAGGCCGAAGAAGGUGAGGAAGCGAGCGAAGAAGUCGCUCGCCGGAAGGCCGAAGCCGUGGAAGAAGUGUUCUUCGAACACUACCACCUCGCCCUUUUCGGGGGUCGGGGCUGCUUCGGCGCCCGGCACCCGCGCCGCCACAAGGUUUGCUGGAGGAAGUAUGCGGCGGUGGCGGAGCGCGUCGAUGUUCCCGUCGCUGAUGUCGCUGCCCACCCAAGCGCCUCGAAACUGCCCCUUCUUAGGGGCGCCGCUGGACAUGGUGGGUGGCGGCAGAGGCUAAGACGAUCCUCGCGGCGGCCGGCAGCAAUGGCUCGAGAGGCGGUGAAGGCGGUGCAACGCUCUUCUUUCUCUGGCUCAGGGAAGAAAGGGGCGUUGGUGCGGGGCGAGAAGGGGGUGAAUGGCCUCCUCGACGCCCCCGCAUACCAUUUAAACCCCCACGAGAGAUCGUGGGGUGGGGAUCCGGUGCGCAUUACUCCCACCUCCUCCGAUUAUUACGGGAGAAUUUACGUCCCGCGGAACCCAACCGUUGAAGAAUCAAUCCGCAGAGGAUCCACACGCCCGAGGGCUGAGGAGGCGUCGUGGCGGGACCCAGGGCGCAGACCCCGUCCCGUCACCUAUACAGUUAAUCAUAGCGUCAGGCCCGGGGCCUGGUACGUGGCGCAACAGCGCUGCUUGCGGCGAAGCUGAUGCGUCUUUUGGAAGCCAGCCGGCUUCCGACCCGGCGCCUCCUGCAACAAGCGACCUAUGAAGAGCACGAGCGAGGAACCCAAGCCGGCGUGGCCUCCCGCUUUAAGGAGGCGGACCUCCCCUGCCCCGGGGACUACUAAUGGGGGGAUAACCCCGGGGUAGGCUCAUCGAGCCUACUCCUUUGCAUCCAAGAGUAAAGGGAAGCAUCAUCUUCUUCCAGACGGUCAACUCUUCUUAGCCGUGUGGAAAGCUCCGGCCGGCUAGGAGCGAGACGACAAUCCUUCCUGGCCGGUUGGAGAGCUCUCGCCAGCUAGGGACGAGACAACAUUCCCUCCUAGCCGGCUAGGAGCGAGACGACAACUUCAAGGCCAGCUAGCGAGACCGCUAGCCGGCUAGGCAGCCCUAGUCACAUCCAACCCUAGGCUGGGACUGGACUCUAUGAAUAAAGGUGGACACGCAUCAUCACACGUACUAGAUUGAGGCACACGACUCAUACAGUGUGACCGGCCAUGCCGCUGACCUAGGUCUACUCCGAUCCGUCAAACCAGCACAGUAUAGGCCCGUCGGCACCCACUCCAUUACCAAGCUUGGCAUGGUAAUAGUGGAGACGGUCGUACUGGCAACCCAUGACGAAUCUCGCAAGACGACGCCGGACGUACUACAUGUGUCCUGCGUCGACCUUACGCGAGAACUCCAUUGGCUAGCCGGCGGGUCCCAUGUCCAGAUGGGACCUCGUAGCCGACGGGCCCCUCCAAUGACAAGACCAGACUACUGUGGGUCUCCUGGCCAGCCAACAAGGCUUCUAGGUAGGCCCCUCUUUUGUACUUUUAUCCAUAUUGUAGGUUGGUGGGUUCGUCUAUAAAACCCCUCGGUCCCCCUCAAUGCAGAGGGUCGGUCAACUGCUCACACACACACAUACAGGAGAGGUAGAUGCGAAUUAGCAGUUCCUUCUUCCUCCUCCGUCAAACAGCUCAAGGAGCACACUGUAAUCCCUUUGGUGCAUCAACCAUUCCGACAGGACUAGGGGUGUUAUCUCUACUGAGAGCCCUGAACCUGGGUACAUUGUGCGUCCCUCGCUUGUACCAAUUCCGUUCUCGGAGCCCGUCGGUGUCCUUAUGGUUCCCACCACUCAUGUUUAGCCUACCCAUGGCUGAUGUCGUGAGUAAACACCGACACCAGGUGAAACAAGGAAUUUCCUCCAUAUCACAAUGAGUAAUGUGUGUGUAAUGAAAUAUCUUUCUGUUCUCCACAAGCAUAGUAACAUAGUAAUUGAGUUGUGUUCUAGUCCAGAACUUCAUGUGCCUGAUACGAAGCUUGUUGUAUGGAUUUUCUCCAGGGAAGAAAUGAUGUUCAUCAAGGAAAUCUGCUUUCAGAAACUUUGGCCUCUUUGAGUAUGGCUGAUGAGGCUUUGGUUGAAGAUUUUGAUGUUGAAUUUCAUCAAAUUGAGGAAUUUUGGCCACCACAACUGUAGUUUCAGGAUUUGCAAUAAGUGGUUCAUCAACUGAAUCUUUAUUCUGUGCUGAGGCAGUUUCUUCACGCGCUUGUUCUUCAGUUUGAGGAAUUUGCUGUGUCGUAGGUGUAGAUGUAUAUUCUGGUACAACAGUUUCAUUUUCAUUUUCACUUUCAUCAGCUUAUGCAGCUGAUUCUUGGUUUGGUGCUGAUUUCAAAUGUGAGCUCCCUUCUUCAUAGCCAGUCAGAAUUUCUAUACCUGAAGGAGAUGUAGUUGUUUGAGGAAUUUGAGAAGUCAUUGGCGAGUUUGGAUUAGCCUUUUCCCAGAAAUCAUCAUGGAUUAUAGGUGUGGUGCAACCAAUGUCCAUAUGAGCCUCUUUUUCUUCAACAAUCAUUUUUUGGGUUUUGAGGAGGAGGUGUUGAGACUUGCGGAAACUGAUCAACUUGAAUUUCCUCAUCUAUUGGUGUGGAUGCUGCAGAGCGAUUUUCAUCCAUUUCCUUAUCUUGUUCUAGAAUGAUAUGCUCUUCACCAAAUGGUACAAUCAUGUACGACGGUGGAAUGCUGAGAGGAGUUGCACCAACUGGAGCUGAUGAUGUAGUGGGACGUGUAUUGAGGCGUUUUGCUUGUGAAGACUUUGAAGGUGUUGAUGUCUUUCUCUUCUUGGCUUCCUUCUCAGCAUCUUUUGUUUUCUUUACUUCUGAGGCAGACGGAAGUGUCUCUUUCUUCACUUUUGAAGACAUUGGUGAAGGGGCAUUUUCUUCAGGCAUUGUGUAGGCAGUUUCAGGCGUGACAGAUUCUUCAGUAAUUACAUUCUGAGCAGACUCAUCAGCAGCAGGUUUUUCAUCUUCAUCAAAAUCAGCCAGUUGUAUAGUGUAGUUGGCCUGAGGAAUUGUUGGUUGCUUUGGAGCAGCAACCUUGUUGUUGUAUUCAUCAAUGGCGUCAGUUUCGGCCUUGACAAACCUCACAUUGUCACCCUUUCGGUGUGCAUGAAGAUUUGUGUAUUUGUCAGUGAGGGAUUUCAGCUCAGCUUGAGUAGAUACAAGUUUCUCAACCGUCAGGUUAAGGAGGUUUUGUUUCAAGUACUUCUCCUUUUUAACCUUUGAUGCCCGAGUUUGUUUGGCUUGCUGAUCCUUGCACUUUGCUUCAUUUAUGUAUGAGGUUACCAUGUGGCUCAGUCCAAGUGGAAGUUUCAAAUCAACAAUGGGUGUGUUUGGAUCUUCAUACCAAAGAUCGAUGAAGUUCAGCACCACUUUUGGAUCUAGUGCGAGGGGAAUGGUAUUGCCAUUAGCUUGUGCAACCCUUUCUUGUUUGUUCCUGAUAAUGGCUUGAAGAGUUUCAUCAUCAUAUUCCUCACUUCCCUCUGUUGCAGAAGGAAUAUUGAGGACAACUUUGCUUGGGCACGACCUUGUUCCUCUCCUAGCAGUCAUCUUCGUCUUCAGUAUGCGAGGUGAGGAUUUGUGAGCUGAACCAGAGGCAAAUGGUACUGAGGAAUUUGCAUUCCUUGUUUGAUGCUACCUGGGCUGUGGCUACAGAGGGAGUGAAGACUGUGCUGUAGUUGAUGACUUGCAGCCGUUGUUGUUUCUGUCUGAGGAAUUUGCUCUUUGGAUAAUGUUGUUGAGGGUUUUGACUUGACACCUGAUUUCUUCAUCAGUGUCUUCUUGAGAGGUUGUUCUCUAGCAGAAGCCUUAGCAACAGAGGAGGAGGCAGCAACAGCUCCAGCACCAAAAUCCUCAUUGAACUUUGUUAGAUCUUCAUUUGUCUUUUUCGUCAGCUUGGCCAAAUACUUGUCUUUUUCUUCAGGAUAGUCUUCAAGUGUGGCCACGCUUGAGGGGUGCACUAGUGGAAUUCAGUUAUUUGCCGUCUGCCAGAUCUUUGCCGUCUGCUGGCUGAUGGCAAAAAGUGUCUUUGCUGUCAGCUUCCAAAAAGCGGACGACAAAGAACUGGCUGAUGGCAUAGAUAGUCUUUGCCAUCAGUCACUUCGUUCCCGUCAGUCGCAGACGACAAAGAGACGCACAACAAAUGGAAAAGCAUAGGUACGGACCACCUGACUGCGGGGAUGUUAGGUCAAACUCGAGUCUCUUCUUUGUCGUCUACUAGCGGACGGCAAAGAGUCCGGAGAAAGACAACGAAGAGUCUAGACUCUUUGCCGCCCGCCAACACACGACAAAGAGCUAACAUCUGUAACGACUAUUUUCCCCCACCCCGGCCCCUCUCUCUCAUUCACUCACACACGCUCCACCCACUCUUCCACUGCUUUCCCGAUGCCCACCGCCGCCACCACCGUCGCCACCCAACUGGCUCUAUCGCGCCGCCACCCCACCGCCCCCGGCGCCGCCGCCCGACAGCCCCCCAACGCCCCGCCGCUCACGACGCCCUAGACGCCCCCUCUAGUGAGCCCCCCACGCAAUAUGUGUGUUUCUGGGUUAAUUUUUUAGUUUAUUAGGUUUAGGUUAGUUAGUUAGCUUGCUAAAUUAGUUAGUUUAGUUAGUUAGCUUGGUUAGUUAGUUAGUUAGCUUAAUAGAAAGAAGAGGAAGAAGAAGAAGAAGAAGAAGAGGAGGAGAAGAGGAGGAUGAGGAGGAGGAGGAGAAGUGGAAGAAUAAGAGGAGGAGAAGAAAAAAAUAAGAAGGAUAAGAAGACAAGAAGAAGAGAAGUAGAAGAGAAGAAGAAGAAGAAAAGAAGAAGAGAAGAAAAAAAAAA
rnacentral:lncRNA from 1 species